rnacentral:rRNA from 1 species
GAUGAACGCUGGCUACAGGCUUAACACAUGCAAGUCGAGGGGAAACGGCGUUGAGUGCUCGCACUCUUCGGACGUCGACCGGCGCACGGGUGAGUAACGCGUAUCCAACCUUCCCGUCACUGCGGGAUAACCUGCCGAAAGGCAGACUAAUACCGCAUGGCCUUCACUGACGGCAUCAGAGGUGAAGUAAAGCUUUUUAGCGGUGACGGACGGGGAUGCGUCUCUAUUAGCUGGUUGGCGGGGCGACGGCCCACCAAGGCUACGAUCAGUAGGGGUUCUGAGAGGAAGGUCCCCCACAUUGGAACUGAGACACGGUCCAAACUCCUACGGGAGGCAGCAGUGAGGAAUAUUGGUCAAUGGGCGGAAGCCUGAACCAGCCAAGUAGCGUGCAGGAUGACGGCCCUACGGGUUGUAAACUGCUUUUAUGCGGGGAUAAAGUGAGGGACGUGUCCC